AUCAGGCAGGAGACUGCAGUCUGGCCCGGAGGUGUUUCCAGCGUGUUCGGCACGUGCUUCUGGCACGUCUGAGAAGUGCUCUGCAGUGUCCGCUAAGUGGUUCUGGGGUAGCCUGCAGGUGAUUUUAGCACGUACGGCAGGUGGUUCUGGCAAGUCCAGCCAGUGGUUCCGGCAUGCUCGGGUGGUGGUUCAGGUGCGUCCGACAGGUAGUUGCGGUCUGUCUGGGAGGUGGUUCUGGCGUGUCCAGCAUGUGGUUCCGGCAGGAGUGAGAGGUGUUUCCAGAAUGCCCGGCGGGUGAUUCUGGAGUGUCCGCCGAGUGGUUCUGGUGUAGCCGGCAGGUGAUUUUGGCAUGUCCAGCAGGUGGUUCCGGCGAGUCGAGCGGGUGGUUCUGGCGUGCUCGGCAGGUGGUUCAGGCAUGUCCGGCAGGGGGUUCCUGUCGGUCCGGGGGUGGUUCUGGUGUGUCUGGAACGUGAUUCCGGCACAUCUGAGAGUUGGUUCCGGCAUGCACGGCAGGUGAUUCCGGAGUGUCCACCAAGUGGUUAUGGCGUAGCCAGCAGGUGAUUUGGGCAUGUCCGGCAGGUGGUUCCGGCGUGCUCAGCACGUGGUUCAGUCGUGUCCGGCAGGUGGUUCCGGUCUGUCUGGGAGGUGCUUCCGGUGUGUCCGCCACGUGGUUCUGGCAUGUCUGAGAGCUGGUUCCAGCAUGCCCAGCAGGUGAUUCCAGAGUGUCCGCCAUGUGGUUGUGGCAUAGCUGGCAGGUGAUUUUGGCAUGUCUGGCAGGUGGUUCCGGGGAGACGAGCAGGUGGUUCCAGCAUGCUCGGCAGUUGGUUCCGGUCUGUCCGGGAGGUGGUUCUGGCGUGUCCGUCACGUGGUUCUGGCAUGUCUAAGUGUUGGUGCCAGCAUGCCCGGCAGGAGAUUCCAGAGUGUCCGCCAAGUGGUUCUGGCAUAGCUGGCCGAUGAUUUUGGUGUGUCUGGUAGAUGGUUCCGGCGAGACGAGCAGGUGGUUCUGGCGUGCUCGGCAGGUGGUUCCAGUCUGUCCGGGAGGUGGUUCCAGGGUGUCUGGCACGUGGUUCUGGCACGUCUGAGAGCUGGUUCCGGCAUGCCCGGCUCGUGAUUCCGGAGUAUCUGCCACAUGUUUCUGGCAUAACCGAGGGAGGAUUUUGGCGUGUCUGGCAGGUCGUUCCGGCGUGCUCGGCAGGUGGUUACGGCAUGUCCGGCAGGUUGUUCGGGGAUGUCCAGGAGGUGGUUCCGGCGAGUCCGGCACGUGGCUCUGGCACGUCUGAGUGGUGGUUCUGGCAUGCACGGAAGGUGAUUCUGGAGUGUCUGCAAAGUGGUUCUGGCAUAGCUCGCAGGUG
rnacentral:lncRNA from 1 species